AAUUGAAGCCAAAAAGAGGCUUAUUACUGUUAAUAAUAUCAUUGAACAAUUGUUCCAAUU
rnacentral:tRNA from 1 species